GAGUCAGUCGUCUAGUGGCUAGGACCUCUGGUUGUGGUCCAGAAAACCGGGGUUCGAUUCCCCGCUGACUCA